UGAAAAACAGCUGGAGGUGGCAACUUACCAGGUAAAAGCAGAUUGGGGGACCGAUAAAAUUAUUCAGAUGCUCAUGGACAGCUCCUCUGUAAUUCACAGGAAAGCCUACACUUACAUCUGAGACGCAGCCUUAUGGAAACGUCCCAACAGAAUUUACAAACUCAGGUAGUCAACAGUGUGAACUGCAAGUCGUCUAUUUAUAACUGUGAUGAUCCACUAGCAUCCCUGCUCUCUCCAAUGGCUUUUUCCAGUUCCUCAGAUCUCACUGGCACUCACAGCCCAGCUCAACUCAACUGGAGAGUUGGUAAGUAGGCUGACUGAAAUCCUAAUGCCAAGCACUAAAUAACUACACGGUGGGUAGAUGGAGGAAAGUGAG
rnacentral:lncRNA from 1 species